AACGAACGCUGGCGGCAUGCCUAACACAUGCAAGUCGAACGAGACCUUCGGGUCUAGUGGCGCACGGGUGCGUAACGCGUGGGGACCUGCCCUUAGGUUCGGAAUAACUCCCCGAAAGGGGUGCUAAUACCGGAUAAUGUCUUCGGACCAAAGAUUUAUCGCCUUUGGAUGGGCCCGCGUUGGAUUAGCUAGUUGGUAGGGUAAAAGCCUACCAAGGCGACGAUCCAUAGCUGGUCUGAGAGGAUGAUCAGCCACACUGGGACUGAGACACGGCCCAGACUCCUACGGGAGGCAGCAGUGGGGAAUAUUGGACAAUGGGCGAAGGCCUGAUCCAGCAAUGCCGCGUGAGUGAUGAAGGCCUUAGGGUUGUAAAGCUCUUUUACCCGGGAUGACAAUGACAGUACCGGGAGAAUAAGCUCCGGCUAACUCCGUG
rnacentral:rRNA from 1 species